rfam:Tupaia chinensis contig232020, whole genome shotgun sequence.
GUGCUCACUUUGGCAGCACAUAUACUCAAAUUGAACCAAUACAUAGAAGAUUAUUAUAACCCCUGUGCAAGGAUAACACACAAAUUCAUGACGUAUUUCAUAUUUUU